UACGGAGGGAGCUAGCGUUAUUCGGAAUUACUGGGCGUAAAGCGUACGUAGGCGGCUUUGCAAGUUAGAGGUGAAAGCCUGGAGCUCAACUCCAGAACUGCCUUUAAAACUGCAUCGCUUGAAUCCAGGAGAGGUGAGUGGAAUUCCGAGUGUAGAGGUGAAAUUCGUAGAUAUUCGGAAGAACACCAGUGGCGAAGGCGGCUCACUGGACCGGCAUUGACGCUGAGGUGCGAAAGCGUGGGGAGCAAACAGG
rnacentral:rRNA from 1 species